rnacentral:rRNA from 1 species
CCCUUAGAUGUUCUGGGCUGCACGCGUGCUACAAUGGCGUUUCCAGCAAGUCUGCGAACCCGAGAGGGCCAGCGGAUCUUCGAAUUGGCGUCGUGAUCGGGACAGUCGAUUGCAAUUAUUUGACUCAAACGAGGAAUUCCUUGUAAUCGCGAUUCAUCAUAUCGCGCUGAAUACGUCCCUGCCCUUUGUACACACCGCCCGUCGCUCCUACCGAUUGAGCGAUCUGGUAAAUGUUUUGGAUUGGUGCCGGGGCGGCUAGCUGCCGGUCGCUACGAAAUUUUGUGAACCUUAUCGCUUAGAGGAAGGAAAAGUCGUAACA